GGGGGCGAAACGGUUUCGACGGGGAUGUGUAAGCUCCACGCAGCAUGCCGAGCUUCUAUCAGCUCGUAAAACCGAUAGAGGACUCUAUAAUCGCCGACGAUUAUAACUACGCUGUAGCCGCUUAAUCGCGGUCAUACAGCCGUCCCACCGGCCUUCGUCCGUAAGGCAGGAUUCGGGGCGUCGAACCAACGGACUGGCUGGCUACCGGCGACCGCCCGGUAUCUGGUGAGACCUUAGCAGCCUAGCGCCCACCCCGCUCUGACUCCGCGGCAUGGCGGGUGCGAAUCUCAAGCCGGAGUCUAAGCAUGUAGAAACGGGAGGGGAGCAUUUUCGGACGCGGGUUCAACUCCCGCCGCCUCCACCA
rnacentral:tmRNA from 1 species